CUUGCUUCCGCCGACGACCGGCGCACGGGUGCGUAACGCGUAUACAAUCUACCUUAUACUGGGGUAUAGCCUUUAGAAAUGAAGAUUAACCCCCCAUAGUCUCUUAGAGUGGCAUCACUUCUAGAGUAAAGGUUACGGUAUAAGAUGAGUAUGCGUUCUAUUAGUUUGUUGGUGUGGUAACGGCACACCAAGACUACGAUAGAUAGGGGCCCUGAGAGGGGGAUCCCCCACACUGGUACUGAGACACGGACCAGACUCCUACGGGAGGCAGCAGUGAGGAAUAUUGGACAAUGGAGGCAACUCUGAUCCAGCCAUGCCGCGUGCAGGAAGACUGCCCUAUGGGUUGUAAACUGCUUUUAUACAGGAAGAAACACCUCUACGUGUAGAGGCUUGACGGUACUGUAAGAAUAAGGAUCGGCUAACUCCGUGCCAGCAGCCGCGGUAAUACGGAGGAUCCAAGCGUUAUCCGGAAUCAUUGGGUUUAAAGGGUCCGUAGGUGGAUAAUUAAGUCA
rnacentral:rRNA from 1 species